GCUGGCGGCAUGCUUAACACAUGCAAGUUGAACGAAUUAAAUUUUUUUUAAUAAAGUAGCGAACGGGUGAGUAACGCGUAAGAAUCUACUUUUAGGUGGGGAAUAACCAUUGGAAACGAUGGCUAAUACCCUAUAAACUGAGGAGUGAAAAAUGUAAAUUGCCUAAAAAAGAGCUUGCGUCUGAUUAGCUUGUUGGUAAGGUAAUAGCUUACCAAGGCUAUAAUCAGUAGUUGAUCUAAGAGGAUAAUCAACCACACUGGGACUGAGGUACGGCCCAGACCUCUACGGAGGGCAGCAGUGAGGAAUUUUCCGCAAUGGGCGAAAGCCUGACGGAGCAAUGCCGCGUGAAGGAUGAAGGCCUUUGGGUUGUAAACUUCUUUUCUUAGUGAAGAAUCAAGACGGUAAUUAAGGAAUAAGCAUCGGCUAACUCCGUGCCAGCAGCCGCGGUAAU
rnacentral:rRNA from 1 species